GACGAACGCUGGCGGCGUGCUUAACACAUGCAAGUCGAACGGAAAGGCCCCUUUGGGGGUACUCGAGUGGCGAACGGGUGAGUAACACGUGAGUAACCUGCCCUUGACUUCGGGAUAACUUCAGGAAACUGGGGCUAAUACCGGAUAGGAAUCCUUGCUGCAUGGUGGGGGUUGGAAAGCUUCGGCGGUUUUGGAUGGACUCGCGGCUUAUCAGCUUGUUGGUGGGGUAGUGGCUUACCAAAGCUUUGACGGGUAGCCGGCCUGAGAGGGCGACCGGCCACAUUGGGACUGAGAUACGGCCCAGACUCCUACGGGAGGCAGCAGUGGGGAAUAUUGCACAAUGGGCGGAAGCCUGAUGCAGCAACGCCGCGUGCGGGAUGACGGCCUUCGGGUUGUAAACCGCUUUCAGCAGGGGCGAAGCUUGUGGUGACGGUACCUGCAGAAGAAGCACCGGCUAACUACGUG
rnacentral:rRNA from 1 species